ensembl:lncRNA
CUGAGUUAUCUGGUUGGCCAUCAGACAGCGCAGCAGUUGUGCCUUGGAACACCAGUCAGGGAUCAUUCUCCGGGUUCAAAUCCCACUUUGAUCUCGCGGUUCCAGAUCUCUUGAAUGUUCUAGAAUGUAUGCAUACCGAACUCAUUUUGAAAUACUUGUACUCUGGCCAAUGUAGAGUUACGAAUGGAAAACGCCACACGCUAGAGACCCGUCUGCACUACCUCCAGUGUUAACACUCAGGGGAGAAAGCACUGGUUCCACCAAGCCCUGUUGGUACUGCGGUCAUGCCAGCCGACUCAUCGAGAUCGGCGGUCAAGCCAGCCGACCCAGUUUUUUGCCGUACCUGUAUAUACUAGCCAUUACAGUAAUAGCGUCUCAGAACUAGUUUAAAGGCCCACUAUGCAACUUUUUUAGCCAAAAUUACAUUAAGUAUGCAGGUUGAGAGUUAUGCUGAUGGUUCUGCAUCCAUUUCUGGGUCGAUUGGUGGGUGUGUCAUUUACCCACGUCGCCUCUCCAGUGAAAAAGCGCAUAUGCAACUUGAUCUGUUCGGACCGACACAAUCCGGAUGUGACGCAGCGGAAGUAUCCUCGAAAAUGUAGUCAGAUUGUAGUUUCGAAAAUGCUUUACGGCACAGACACACACCCAAACAUGGCACCGGCUAGAUAUAAACAGCCAGUUGCGAGGCAAUUGUUGCAUUCAUCAUGGAUCAAUCGACUAAUGAUCAGCCGACUAAAAAGAGACAGAGAAACCCAAUGUCGGAGGAACAGAAGAAGAGAAAAGGGAGACUGACCGACAGAGAGGCCAGACACGAGUAAACGUUGGGCAAUCUUUUCAGGAAUAGCGUGAACUGAAAGAAAAAGAAGACUGCAAAUCAGACGCCGACUCGGCCGUGUUGCUUUUGAAAUUGAAAGUACCCUUGGGUGAACUUUGUCUUCGUGGUAUUCUUGAUUCUGAUAGUCUCUGUACAAAUGUGUUUGCUCAACCAUUUAGUUGUGAGCCCUGUAAAAAUUGUUUUCUCGACCGUUUUGUUGUGAGCUCUGUAUGUUUCUAGCUUGCUUGCAACCAUAUAAACACCUUUGUUUCCAUGGGUGUUUUGCUGUUCGUCUGUCCCCCAGAUACAGACUGAAUCCCCGAAUCCAGGUUCUUGUUUAUUUCGAUUAUUAUGUUGGCCAAACCUCUUACACUGAUUGUUCUGUUCAACCUAAGAUAAAACAAUUAUAACCUAGGGUAUAAAUUCUCCCGGUGAACUAUAAAAAAGGAUGGAUUUAUGUUUAUUGCAAUGCAAAUACACCCUUUUAAAAAUGUAUAACCUUGCCUACACUUUAUGAACAUCUACUUCGGACAUGGCUCCACGCAUUCGCCGGCUUCUUUGAAAACAAAUGCACAUGGCUCGCGUAGAAGUGCAUGGGGAAGGGACGUCAACGAGUUGUUACGACAGUGUUGUGAAAUAUCUACUACGAAGCUGUAGGGGGCGCUGUGUAGAGUAAUGUGCGUGCCAAAACCAAGAAAACAGCGAAGAUAUUCCCGAAGUUGCAUAGUGGGCCUUUAAAGUAAAAGCAUUCGUCGGGUAAAUACAAAAAGACAGUCAAUAAAAGCAAAUACUAUCAAAGGAAGUGUACGGCCGUUGUGGUAUUUACUUUCAAAAUGAAAGCCCACCAAACAUUCCAAUCUGAGACAUAUUACAUAUGAUUUUGGAUUCAAUUUAAAAGACAAUGCCCUGUUAUUUCAGGCUCAUUUCACUUCAUGGUUAUAGUUCACGACCCCAUAGGGUCACCCAAGAAGUUUCAGAACAUUCUGAUGUGGAGUUUCAAAAUAAA